ACAAAAUUAUUUCUUGAGCAUUUUAUCACUUCGGAUAAGAUUCAGGCGUGAGUAAUACAGACCCAGAGAAACCAUGGCUAAACAAGUUAGCCCCACAGAGUCACCGUGCUCGGGGCUCGGGCUUCUUCAGGCUGAGUCCUUGAUGGUGCAGCGUUCCACUCCAACCUCCAUGCCUUCGUCCACGUGUUCCAAAAUGGUUGUCGGAGCACCAGCCAUCAUAGCCUCAUUCCAAGCCUCAGGAUGAAGGAAGAAGACGAAAGAAAGAUGAGAAACGGAGACCCAGAAGAGUGGAAUUCCUUGCCCAAGUUCACACAGGCAGCAGAAGAGUUGGGACUAGAACCCAGGGACUCCUGACUCAUGGUGAAGAACAGAGCCAACGAAUUGGAGCUGUGGCAGAACACGGCGAGUGCCCCGGAUGCCAGGAACAGGAAACAUGGAAGCAGUUCUCAGAAGACAGACACUCAACACGGGCCAACUCCUGGCCGCUGAUGAUAUGCACACUCCCCAUCUGAAGUGGCUGCGAGCCAGGAGUGUGACCACAACAAGCAGGAACUCCCUUUUGUCCACUUCCUCCACGGGACAAGGCAUGGACCUGCCUCUCAUCAGCUCACCAAAUGCUUGAUGCCAACCCUGGGUUCAUCCUUACAGGCUGGGGAUGGAACAGCUUAGCUUCUUUUACUGGAAAUCCUCAUGCCUCCAUCCUACAGUAAUACAGAGUCAGCCAAACCUUGUUUUUCACUCGGAGCUGAUUUCCUGGCAAAAUUCCCAUUGCAGGACUCCAGCACUGACAGAGGUUAAUGGGUACCAUUUAGCCACUCUCAGCAGUGUUGGUUUGAUCUUCUUGGCUCUGGUACUCUUCCUCCUUCUGGCACAAGAAGAUUCAGCUUUUGCCCUUUAUCUUGUUAUUCAAGAGCCUGAGUGCCCAUGACAGCCGUGGGUGCACAUGCGGCUCCCUCUGAGUCCUUGGCAGACCAGCAGGAUUCAGACCAACGCAGGCAACGUGCACUGAGCUCUUCAUUUUCCCCUCAACAGCCAGCUGGCCUGUUGCUGAAACCAAGACCAAUCAGAAAAGACACACACACAUAUGUGGCUAGGACUGCCUUGUUUUCUCCUCUACCGAGAAAGACGAAGGAACAGAUAGGGGCUGCAGGAAGCAGCGUCUCACUCUUAUAAGGAAAGCUGAUUAAGCUGCCCUGAAUCCAAAGAACUCUUGACUUCCCUGAGUUCCUGAGUCCCCAGACUGUCUGCCUCAGCCCACAUAGUUACGUAUGAACAUGGUCUUGGAAGAGAAACGCCAAGGUGAACCUGACGACCUCUUGGCACACAAGUGCACGUUGGUUGCACUUAGAAACGAUGGGUCUCUUCCGGAACACCCACUGAGAUCCACCGAAAAGCUCCUGACCCUCAGCUUGAGACCCCACAGCAGAGAAGUAGAAAGGAGAGGGGUAUACAGAAGUUAGGGCCUACAGUCGACGUGGGCCUUGAAAAUAGCGUCAAGUCCUAUUACUCUUGAAGACGCCUGAAGUCACCUGCGAAAUACAACACUGUAUCCAGCCUCCACUGAGGGCAGUGGGGCUUACCAGUGUCUUUGGCAUCGGCAUGUCUCCCCCUGAACAGAUCGCUUUGGUUGAGCGCCAGGUGAAGUGGUUGGCUUGCAUUUAGGAACAUAAAAUGCACACCUCUUAACCCAAGACUCACGUUUACACAAGCAAGAAGCUCGAAGGUGGGACUGGGACCCCCUCAGGGUACUCCAUCACGCUGGCAGAUGCGCGUGAGUGGAGCGGCGCCCAGAACAGCCCAAGCAGGCAAACACGUGCUUGAUUCCGUCUCCCUGGCAGCACCCUCCCGCCGCCCUCCUCUCUUCUCCCUUUCGUCUCUGAGCACAGAGCUGAAUUUGCCCGUGUCUGGGAAUGAAUCUUCAUUCCCAAAUAUAGCUGGAAAGGGAGCUCAGCUUCCAAUGCAGAGAAUUCCUGCCCCUUCCCCCGCCAUGAAGAUUCCGGAAUUAUCCAGAGUCAUUCUUGCUUCUACCUACAUGUAAGUUCUGAAAGUUCAAAAAAAGUGUGAUUUGGAAAUCAAAAUUCUGCUCCUGAAGUGCAUAGGGAGGAACUGGAAGCUAAGGGGGCUUCAUGACGCGGCAGGGCACGGAGCCUCAGCUUAACAGCUCUGAAAUGGGUGUAGUAACACCCGCCUCCAUGGAAAGGGUGGAAUCAGCUUAAUGAAUUGGCUUCCUCAGAGCAGAAAAUGUGUCAUCCUCUUCAAAACCUUAAGAUGAAAGGUGUGAAAUGGUGUCAUUGUUUCAUAGAUUGCUACAUCAAACAUGGGACGCCUAUAAAACUGCAACACGUAAUUAUCAUAAAAAUAGCACACUGUUAAAACUCCCAGAGGACUAUGGCAUAUUGGGUGGAAGAGGAACGCACAUACCUGGUCCUGGGCAAAGAACCCCACCUCCCUUCCACCUCCUAAGAUCUGGCCACUACUACAGGUCCUCAAAUUUCUGUAACAGCCUCCCAGACAUUCUUCCCUGAUUCUGCCUGCACUCUGUGAUGCUGCGAUUUAUAUGAAGAAAAUUUGUUCUUUGUCCCCACUUUGGGCACAGAGCACCUAACACCCUUGGAAUUUCCUAAGCAAUGAGAGCAGCAAAGGGGUCUUUUGCUAUGCUAAUGCGUGAUCAAGGAAACCAACCCUGUGAUUAGAGAGUUGGAACUUUGAGUCCCACCCCCUUGACCUCCAAGAGGGGAGAGGGGCUUCAGGUUGAAUCAGUCACCAAUAGCCAUUGAUUUAAUCAAUCAUGCCAAUAUAAUGAAGCGCCAUAAACAAACCAAAAGGGCAGGGUUUGGAGGGCUUCUGAGUUGGUGGCACAUGGAGGCUGGUAGGGUGGCGAGAGCAUGGGAGCUCCGUGCCCCUUCCCCAUACCUCUCCUAUGCCUCUCUCUC